UGGCGGACGGGUGAGUAACGCGUGGGUAACCUGCCUCAUACAGGGGGAUAACAGUUGGAAACGACUGCUAAUACCGCAUAAGCGCACAGUACCGCAUGGUACGGUGUGAAAAACUCCGGUGGUAUGAGAUGGACCCGCGUCUGAUUAGCUAGUUGGCGGGGUAACGGCCCACCAAAGCGACGAUCAGUAGCCGACCUGAGAGGGUGACCGGCCACAUUGGGACUGAGACACGGCCCAAACUCCUACGGGAGGCAGCAG
rnacentral:rRNA from 1 species